UACGGGGGGGCAAGCGUUGUUCGGAAUUACUGGGCGUAAAGGGCUCGUAGGUGGCCAACUAAGUCAGACGUGAAAUCCCUCAGCUUAACUGGGGAACUGCGUCUGAUACUGGAUGGCUUGAGAUUGGGAGAGGGAUGCGGAAUUCCAGGUGUAGCGGUGAAAUGCGUAGAUAUCUGGAGGAACACCGGUGGCGAAGGCGGCAUCCUGGACCAACACUGACACUGGAGGAGCGAAAGCCAGGGAGCAAACGGG
rnacentral:rRNA from 1 species